GACGAACGCUGGCGGCGUGCUUAACACAUGCAAGUCGAACGGAAAGGCCCUGCUUUUGUGGGGUGCUCGAGUGGCGAACGGGUGAGUAACACGUGAGUAACCUGCCCUUGACUUUGGGAUAACUUCAGGAAACUGGGGCUAAUACCGGAUAGGAGCUCCUGCUGCAUGGUGGGGGUUGGAAAGUUUCGGCGGUUGGGGAUGGACUCGCGGCUUAUCAGCUUGUUGGUGGGGUAGUGGCUUACCAAGGCUUUGACGGGUAGCCGGCCUGAGAGGGUGACCGGCCACAUGGGGACUGAGAUACGGCCCAGACGCCUACGGGAGGCAGCAGUGGGGAAUAUUGCACAAUGGGCGGAAGCCUGAUGCAGCAACGCCGCGUGCGGGAUGACGGCCUUCGGGUUGUAAACCGCUUUCGCCUGUGACGAAGCGUGAGUGACGGUAAUGGGUAAAGAAGCACCGGCUAACUACGU
rnacentral:rRNA from 1 species